GAUGAAGAACGUAGCGAAAUGCGAUAGGUAAUGUGAAUUGCAGAAUUCAGUGAGUCAUCGAAUCUUUGAACGCACAUUGCGCCCUGUGGUAUUCCGCAGGGCAUGCCUGUUCGAGCGUCAUUUCAACCCUCAAGCUCUGCUUGGUGUUGGGCCCUGCCCGCUGCGGCCGGCCCUAAAGACAGUGGCGGUGCCGCCUGGCCCUGAGCGUAGUACAUCUCUCGCUCCAGUGCCCGGUGGUAGCCUGCCAGAACCCCAACUCUCGUGGUUGACCUCGGAUCAGGUAGGGAUACCCGCUGAACUUAAGCAUAUCAAAAGCGGAGGA
rnacentral:misc_RNA from 1 species